rnacentral:misc_RNA from 1 species
GCAAAAACAGAAUAAAUUAAUAUAAAACUAACUCCACACACCCUAAACCAGAAUGAAAAAUUGUAUCCACCCUUUAACUCAGCUUGAUGCAAUCUACGACCAACAUCAUGGUCAUAAAGACGUUAUCAUUUUGAGGAACCCAAAAUAAAAAAUUCCCUAUUCUUUUGAACCUGAUAAUAUAGCAUUUCAGUCCAAAAUUUCAACGUUGGUUUCCUUUUUCUUUUUUGUAUUAACACAGAUUUGACUCUACAGAGAGAUAUGUUUGGUAGAGAAUAUUUAAACAUAAUGGAAUGCAGUUACACAGAUUUCUCAUUUAUUGCUCUACCACAUUUUCAAUCCAUGAUACUCAAUUGCUAUUCUUUAUGAUCUAAACUAGAGUUAUCCUACAUUUUCCCGAGAAACAAA